rnacentral:rRNA from 1 species
GAACGGCAGCAUGAUCUAGCUUGCUAGAUUGAUGGCGAGUGGCGAACGGGUGAGUAAUACAUCGGAACGUACCCUGUAGUGGGGGAUAACUAGUCGAAAGAUUAGCUAAUACCGCAUACGACCUGAGGGUGAAAGUGGGGGACCGCAAGGCCUCAUGCUAUAGGAGCGGCCGAUGUCUGAUUAGCUAGUUGGUGGGGUAAAGGCCCACCAAGGCGACGAUCAGUAGCUGGUCUGAGAGGACGAUCAGCCACACUGGGACUGAGACACGGCCCAGACUCCUACGGGAGGCAGCAGUGGGGAAUUUUGGACAAUGGGCGAAAGCCUGAUCCAGCAAUGCCGCGUGUGUGAAGAAGGCCUUCGGGUUGUAAAGCACUUUUGUCCGGAAAGAAAUGGCUCUGGUUAAUACCUGGGGUCGAUGACGGUACCGGAAGAAUAAGGACCGGCUAACUACGUG